GCAAAAUCGUUCAGUAAAGUAAGAACUUCAAACACAUCACCAUCACCAAAAUACAAUUUUGUCAUGAAUCCAUUUGUGUCCUUUGUUUAAUAUGCACAUAGACCAAGGUGAGCGACACAGGCUCUUUAGAGCCUCUAGUUUCACUAUAAAUUUAAAUGUCCAAUUGAAUAAACUCCACAGAGAACAAUAGCUAUUGUAUUCAUCCAAUGGGACAGUAUAACAUGAAUAAUAUUGAACUUAUUCUGGGGAAAAGUUUUACUCCUUUUGCAUUCAGUUUAUAAAGAACAUUGCUCUUUUUCAUUCAUUCACUGAUUUAAAAUAAAGUGUAAGGCAUUCUGCAAUGAUUAAGGCAAUCAACUCUGAUAUUGAAAAGUAGACAUUUCAAUAAAAAUUAAAGACAA
rnacentral:lncRNA from 1 species